rnacentral:rRNA from 1 species
AUGAACGCUAGCGACAGGCUUAACACAUGCAAGUCGAGGGGCAGCACGCUUUCGGGUGGUGGCGACCGGCGCACGGGUGAGUAACACGUAUGCAACCUACCCAUAACUUGGGGAUAGCCCGCGGAAACGCGGAUUAAUACCUAAUGACACAGGGGCACCGCAUGGUGCUAUUUGUUAAAGAUUUAUCGGUUAUGGAUGGGCAUGCGCGGGAUUAGUUAGUUGGUAGGGUAACGGCUUACCAAGGCAUCGAUCCUUAGGGGAACUGAGAGGUUUAUCCCCCACACUGGUACUGAGACACGGACCAGACUCCUACGGGAGGCAGCAGUGAGGAAUAUUGGUCAAUGGGCGAGAGCCUGAACCAGCCAAGUCGCGUGAAGGAAGACGGUAUUAUGUAUUGUAAACUUCUUUUAUAGGGGAAUAAAGUGCGGGAUGUAUCCUGUUUUGUAUGUACCCUAUGAAUAAGCAUCGGCUAACUCCGUGCCAGCAGCCGCGGUAAUACGGAGGAUGCGAGCGUUAUCCGGAUUUAUUGGGUUUAA